rnacentral:rRNA from 1 species
UACGUAGGGUGCGAGCGUUGUCCGGAUUUAUUGGGCGUAAAGAGCUCGUAGGCGGUUUGUCGCGUCGGCCGUGAAAUCUCCACGCUUAACGUGGAGCGUGCGGUCGAUACGGGCAGACUUGAGUUCGGUAGGGGAGACUGGAAUUCUUGGAUGUAGCGGUGAAAUGCGUAGAUAUCAAGAGGAACACCUGAGGUGAAGACGGGUUGCUGGGCUGAUACUGACGCUGAGGCGCGAAAGCUAGGGUAGCAAACGGG